rnacentral:rRNA from 1 species
CCUACGGGUGGCAGCAGUGGGGGAUAUUGCACAAUGGGGGAAACCCUGACGCAGCGACGCCGCGUGGGCGAAGAAGUCUUUCGGUAUGUAAAGCCCUAUCAGCAGGGACGAAGCAAUGACGGUACCUGAGUAAGAAGCACCGGCUAAAUACGUGCCAGCAGCCGCGGUAAUACGUAGGGUGCAAGCGUUAUCCGGAUUUACUGGGGGUAAAGGGAGCGCAGGCGGCACGGCAAGCCUGAUGUGAAAGCCCGCGGCCCAACCGCGGGACUGCAUUGGGAACUACCGGGCUGGAGUGUCGGAGAGGAAGGCGGAAUUCCUAGUGUAGCGGUGAAAUGCGUAGAUAUUAGGAGGAACACCAGUGGCGAAGGCGGCCAACUGGACGGUGACUGACGCUGAGGCACGAAAGCGUGGGGAGCGAACAGGAUUAGAUACCCGGGUAGUC